rnacentral:lncRNA from 1 species
CUACUGGCAAUGAAGAAGUACAGGAGUGUUGAGAAUCCUCAUUCCUAAGGCCAAGGCACACGUGAGUUUUCCUGACUGAGGCAAUAAUAGGAUCACAGAACACAUCCUGACCUUAUCCACCAGCCUAAAGCAGCAGAAUCUGCCACAAGAGCAUGCAGAGCUUCCUCUGGGCCACUGGCAUCCACAGAAGACAUGUUGCUCAGCUGUGCUACACCUCCAGUUCUACUGAUUUCCUCUUCCAACUGUGACAACAAGGCUGGUGAUCCUUAUGGCUUGUCCCACUCUGGAAGCACCUCUAUGGCAAUGAAGCUGAGUAAAGAUGGAAAAUUCCUCAGCAGCAGGAAGUCAACUAAGACAGUGCCCUUCAGGAGAACCUCAUAUUCAGGGACCGGGCGAGCUAAGGGCAAGGGACAUGAGAAGGAGUCAGAGUACACAUUAAGCUUUGUCCUGGGGAUAGAUAAGGCACCAGAGGACCAGAGGACGGGACAGUGCAAUGAAAAGUCACACAGUGAUGCUGAAUAGGACCAAGUGGAUCAAAGAGGAACAGGACCUGUUGCUCAGGAGGACAGCUUCCUGAGCAACUAUGGACUGAAACUGCUAAAAACCAUGCAGAGCUUUCCUGUGCCAGACCCUUCCAUCACAUCAUUUCUCUCACGGAGCCAGCCAACUAGGGAUUGUAACUGCUACCAAAAGGUGGGCAGCUUCCUCCACAACACACUCCUGCUGAGAUCUGUCCUGGCACCAGUCUGAAAGCAACAGGACUAACCAACCAUGGUCUGAAGCUGCUGAAACUCCUCAGAUCUUCAGGCAGCAACUUUAGAACUGAUGAAGAAGUGCAUCUAUUUGCUACUGCUGCAACUGCGAUGGCCAAGCCUUAGCCUUGAUUCUUCUCAUUUUGUGUACCACGUCUCAUUUAAAGACAGGAAGAAAAUUAUUCGUAUAAAAGUAUGUGAGAUAUCAACAAUUAACUGUGCUAUGAAUAUUAAUGGUGGUGAACCAAGAAAGCUCUUGUGGAGAAGUUGACCGCCUAGCAACACCCAAGGGAAGUGGGGAUCCAGUCAUGUGACUACUGAGGGAGAAGAAUACUCCAGAUGCUGAAAGAAGAAAGGC